rnacentral:rRNA from 1 species
AUGGCGCCUAUCCACGUCUCUUCCUCGGAGGUCAUCCUCCUGGACGACAGCGACGACGAGGAGCUGCUUGGUAUGAACAUCGCUGACAUGACCUUGCUUGACGACCUUGACUUCUCCGACAACAGCCACGGCAACAAGAAGACAUGUGUUAAUGCAGACGACGUUGUUGUUAUCUCCUCCUCCGGCGAUGAGGAGUCAGCUGCUGACAACGGCGCCACAGACUCCAACAGUGGCAAGUCGUUUGUCUCCACGGACUCAAAUUCAAUAAGCAAGAAGAAGCGGAAGCCAAGGGCCGAGUACAACUACUGGCACUCCAGCGACGAGCACUGGAUAAUUGAAACCGAUGGAAUGCUCCGAAGGAAGAAGAAAUACAAAGGCGGGGACGUACCAGUGCCGGUGCCAUACAGAAGUUAA